AAAUAUAGUCCUGCCUUCAUUUUCAAAAUUCAAACCAGUCAUCUUCACACCUCUCUCUUUCUAUCUUCAACUCGGAAGAACAUCUUCACACCUCUCUCUCUCUUCAAACCAUAGCCACCGCCACCGCCACCGCAACGGCCACCAGAAGACUAUUAAUAUUCCACCGAGUUCACCUCGCUAACAAAAUCACGCGCGCGUUCUCCACAAAUCAAAGCCCUAAUUCCCUCAAAUCUCAAUCGGUGAGUUUGAAGAUGAAGACGAGAUUAACAAGACGAAGUUGCAAUUACAGUUACCUAGGGUUUUCAUCUGGGUAUUUUAUUUUAUGCCGGCGUUUCUCCUCAACUUGUUAGGGUUCCGGCACUGUGUACAGAUUUGUCACUUUGUUCUGAUCAUCCGAAGACAAGUAAUCGCUAGGGUUGGGUUACGAUACUGUGUUCAGAUCCUCAACUAUCUAGGGUUUCGGCAAACUAAAUCGAGUUAUAAUGGCAAGCCUUGAAGUAAAAUUGGAGGUGGGCUUUGAUGGUGUUGUUGUAAUCCUCAUCUCCAAUUUACCUGUUAAUCUUUUCAAGCUAGAAAGACUCCUUUAGUGGAAUCUUUUGAUUCUUCUGGUGAAGAAGAGCUUGCUAUUCAGAGGCUUGAGAUGAUGAAAAAUACUUGACGCAAAGACUUGCAAAUGAGGCUAGAGGAAACACGGUACUUCAAGCUAGCUUGGAAAGAAGGAAGCAAGCAUUACACGAACGUAGGAUAGCACUUGAACAAGAUGUUCAUGAAAAGGGCGCUGAAGUUGUGCGCAUGUACAAAACAUUAUUUGGAAGUCAAGGAUUCUGAAAGGUAAAGAAAGAUGUUUACGUCGUUAUUUUGUGAUAAAACUGACACAUUUUUAUUUUAGGGGAUGGGUUUGUACUUUUAAAGGCACGAUGGACAAGCGGUAACUUGUGAAGAUUUCUUUGUUGUUAUGCGAGAUGCUAAUCAUGCAGAUUUUGCUAAUUUCUUAUUAUGGUAUUUGCCAUACUUUCUUUAUACGGGUUUUUUGAUACUGAUUUCCUAAAUUUUGUGACUUUAUGGUGCAAAUAUAGGUAUUCACAAGUGGGGACUCCUGUUGCUGUUUGUUUGAUAACGUAUUUGAAAAUAGUGUAUGUUAAGGUUUUGACAAUAUGGUGUUUCUAGGGUUUAUAAGCACUGGAUUUGGUCAUUGAGUUUCAGAAAUUAUACUCAGAUUCUAUUGGUAAUAUGAUCUGAAGACUACGUCGGGGAUGUUCGAGAAAGUGGAGAAGCGGGGAUUCUUCUACUUAGGUUUUGUUUUUUUUUUUUUUUUUGUUCUUUCUAAGGUAAGUCUUUGAAGCAGCUUAGUCAAAUUUCAGCAUGUGUAUAUAUGUAAUAUUUUGCAUCACUAUUUGAGAUUUAGGAUUUCUCAUAUUCCCAUUAAUUUGUAGAUGAUGCUGCAAUUGUUUUUAAUCAAGUUGUAUAUAAUAAAUGAAAAUUAUUUGGGCCACUGUUGAGUCAAAACAGUGUUGUUAAAACAGUGGUUUGAAACCACUUUUGGGUUAAAACAGAGUUUUAAAGCACUGUUGGGUUAAAACAGUGGUUGAAACCACUGUUGGGUUAAAACAGUGUUUCAAGCCACUGUUGGGUUAAAAACAGUGUUUGAAAACACUGUUGAGUCAAAACACUGUUGUUAAAGCAGUGGUUUGAAACCACUCUUGGGUUAAAACAGAGUUUUAAACUACUGUUGGGUUAAAACAGUGUUUGAAACCACUGUUAGGUUAAAACAAUGUUUCUAGCCACUGUUGAGUUACUUUUUUUGUUGGUUUUUACAUGAACGUGUUCUUCUUUCUCUUUAUAAUGAAUGCAUAUUGUUAAAAUAUGUUUCUUAACCUUCGUUUAUUGUAUCAUUUGUUGUAGGUUUUAAUUAAUAGACGUCGUUUCAUAUCAUCUUGAUGUCAUUUGAUAAUGAAUCAUUGUCGAAGAACCCAAGAAUCCGAAGUGACUAUGCACUUUAUUAUUCAGAUGUAUGGAAUUAAGGAUCUAAUUCUACUCGGAUAUCGGGGGGAAUGUUGUAAGUUUUAAUGUUUCUGUCUCGAAACUCCUUUCUUUUCCUUUUGUUUUUGUAAUGUAACCGGUACCGGAACUCUAAAUCCCUAACAUUUUAUUGGUUGGGCAAUAUAUAUUAGGUUGUCAACCAUGAUAUAGUGGAUUCCUGUAUUUAUGUAUGUAUUUAUAUAUUAGGUUGUUAACCAUGAUAUUUGGUUCGUACCAGUUUGGUACGGUACCGGUAUUUUAUCGAAUUUUACCCUCAAAUACCGGUACCGUCUCAGUACCAGUAACCGUAUUUACUGAUCUUCGGUAUCGGUACCAAGCUCAUCCCAAUUUGUAACUACAGUUUUCGAGUUGCAAAUUUGAAAUGGUUUUAAUAUAUUUGAAUUUAGGAAGCAAUAGGGUCAAAAAAAUUUCCCAUAAAGUUAACUUUUGGAUUCAGUGGACAAUACACUAAUUACCAUAAUAUAAAAUUCAUCAAAAAUGUAGAUAUUUUCAUCAACUGAUUUCAAAGCUUUUGUAAUAUGCAUUGUUACGAAUCGAUGCUUUUAGCAGAGGUGGACAAGGCUGGGUACUGGUUCAUUACUUUUUAUAACAAAACAUUAUUAUUUGAAUUUGAGUGUACAAUUUAUAUCUUUUCAAUGACGUUUUAUCGAGUGGAACCAGGGGUAAAUAUGGCAAUUGGAAUUCGGAAGACUUCUGUUGUGAAGCUGCCUCAUCAAGUAUGACAUUUGCUAUUUCGACCCUUACUUAUAAAGGGAAGAUUUGAGUUCUUUUUUAAUAGGCCGAAUGAGUAAAAUAAAAGGCUUAAAAGGAAACGAAUCAGAUUUUUCAAAAUUGAUUUAUUAAAAGGUUAGAUCAUGGUAAUAAACUAAUAAUAUAGUUUUAGUAAUUAUCUUCAUCAAACUAAUUAUUUAAAAAAAAUAUGGUCAAAAGUGUUUCGGUCAAUCAACUGGGUUCUACCAUUCGCGAUAUUGACCGAUAUAUCACCGAUUUUCUCGAUAUCAGUACCUUUCUUCUUGGUUCUACCAUUCGUGUUGUUUGCUGUUUUGUUGCAUAACAGGUCAAAGUCCCUACUUGGAUCGGUGAUAUUGAAGAAGAAGAAGAGUUUGUAGGCGUUGGUGCCCGAUUCGGUCCUAUGUUGGAAUCGAAGGAGAAUAAAGUUUUCGUCUCAUGUUUGGAGGGUUUUUAGGAGUUUUGAUCUUCAUGAACCCCUUUGCUGUCAAAUAGUGUUCUGCAUUAUCUUUGUUUCUGUUUCUAUACUGUAUCUGCCAAUCCAGAUCCUCAAUGGCUUUCGAUUUGUUGAUGCUCAAGUUUGUUUUCUGAUCUCAUUUAUUAUAGAUGAUGUGAAGGUUGUUAAGUGUUAUGUAACUUGAUUUGUCAAUUAUGUAUGUAACUAUGUGUAAGAAUUAAUGAUUAUAUCAUCAUCUAGAUACACGAAGUUUACACUCUCAUUGUUAUUUGUUGACAUGCCGUAACGACGCAGCGCGCGGCUGCUCAGACGCCGCAGCGGGCACCGCAAACGCAGCAACGUGGCUGCCGCUACAACGCAGCGGCGCGGCUGCCGCCAAAAUGCAGUGGCGCGGCUGCCGCCAAAACGCAAUGGCACGGCUGCCCCCAAAACGCAACGGCGCGGCUACCGUAACGCCGUAGCGCGCGGCUGCCGUAACGCCACAAUGCGUAGCUGCUGAAACGUAGAGCGCGGCUGCUCAAACCGACUGACAUGCUUUAAAUCAUAGGUCGAGAUGAAGGGUAUUUUGGACAUUUUAAAAAUAUUUGAACUCAUCCUGUAGGGACCCUGAACUGAUCAAGAAAAUCGAUGCAGCAAUGUCUCUUGAAGUGAGAGCAACGGGGAUUAACUACACAUUUGCACCUUGUAUCGCGGUUUGCAGAGAUCCAAGAUGGGGUCGUUGCUUCAAAAGCUACAGUGAAGAUCCGGCAAUUGUUUGUCAAAUGACCGAACUUAUCCCCGAUUUACAUGGAGAUAUUACGGCUAAUGGUCGCAAAGGCGUACCUUACGGUUUACAUGGAUAACAUUAAACUUAUUAUUAUGUUUGGUCGAUUGUUUAAGUCUUUUUAUGGGAUGUUAAUUGUUUAAACAUAAGCGCGGAUUGUUUAGCAUUGUAUGGGCCAUAAGCAAAGUCAAAUGGGUCCGAUUUGGGCUGUACAAAAGAAACGACGAAUGUGAUAAGGUAUAUGUAGGAGAACCGUUCACAAAAUAAAUAAAAUAACAAUUUUGUUUA